rnacentral:rRNA from 1 species
UACGAAGGGAGCUAGCGUUGUUCGGAAUCACUGGGCGUAAAGCGCACGUAGGCGGAUGUGUCAGUCAGGGGUGAAAUCCCGGAGCUCAACUUCGGAACUGCCCUUGAUACAGCACGUCUUGAGUCCGGAAGAGGUGGGUGGAAUUCCUAGUGUAGAGGUGAAAUUCGUAGAUAUUCGGAGGAACACCAGUGGCGAAGGCGGCUCACUGGCUCGAUACUGACGCUGAGGUGCGAAAGCGUGGGGAGCAAACAGG